ACUAUCUGAAGCUGUAAGUAUCAUUAUUUGUUCUUCCAUUGAACAUUAAAAAAAUUUCGACUGAUGUUGUGCAUUGCCUGUUAGGCGUAGUUGUGGAUUUUGACGUUUGGCUGCUUUUGCGCUCAAACCAGAUCAACUCUGAACCUGUAUAUACUGUCCAAAUCUGCUGCUAAAUUUUUGGAUUAAUCCGGCCAAUUAAAACAGUUAAACCAAACUUGAUAUUUAGAAGAUCAAGUUUAGCAUUUUACUUUAUCAAUUCAUAUUUUCCUAUUUGCCUUCUAAGCUAGGUAGCA
rnacentral:misc_RNA from 1 species